AAAAGUUUAGAAAGAGCUGGGCUCGGAUUCAGAAAAAACGCCUCAUCCCCCCGCCCCGCUGCACUCCCAACCCCUUUAAAAAUAGCAGAUAAUCAAGAAAGGAAACGGGUGCUUUCAUAUGGAAAUACAGAUGUGUAUGUUGUUUUCAAUAUUCUACUGUUUUUUGUGUGUGGCAUGCAAUUACUCAGGCACUGGGCAAAAUUCAGCCUUUGGAUUUUGUGGUCACACAUACCCCAACUCCGCAACAGCUAUUAAUUUGCAGGGCGAUGGGGUGCGGAUAGUGGAUGAGAUACAAGAAAGCAUUCCAAUUAAAAUGCCCCCCCACCCCGCCUUUUAAUUUUCCAGACACUUGCGUUUAUUUUUCUUUUUUUAAACAUCAUCAAAACAAGAAUAUUAAACUUGAAGCAGAAUUUGUUACAGCGUAUCUGACUCAGGACCUGAUUUAAGGUUUGGGGUUUUUUGGCCCUUUGUUUCUUCCUCUUGUUUUUUGACCUUUAGUUACUCCACACCUCAUUAGUUCCUUGACCUGCAGGUGGACUGAGAAGAGAGCCAUGCAGGUAGCAGGCAAGAGUGUGGUUAUCGUUGGACCAGGAUUCAGGAUCUGACCGAGUAGCUGACUCUUAAUCCAGUUUGUGUUGAUCACCAGGAGGAUCUGGACCUCAGUGUUAUCACAUCUAAAGCUAUAAUCACAUCCCUGUUAAGCCUUCCUGAGAUCACACCAAAUGUCCUUGAUGGGAAUUGUAAACAACCCUUACUUCUGGUUUCUAAUGAUAUUCCAGGAAAGGAGCCUAACUAGAGUCAGUGAUAUGCCAACUCCACCUUUGCCUUCCACCAUGUUUGGAAGCUCCCUGAGGCCUCACCAGGAGCAGAUGCUCGUCCCAUGCUUCCUAUAAGCCUGCAGAACUGUGAGCCAUAAUAAACUGUGAAUUAUAAAUUGCCUUUAUAGCAAUGCAAAUGGACCAGUACAGAUGGGAUGCUGGGAAGACAGUUGUUCCACCUUCAGUAAAGUCCAUGGAACACAGUUGUGACUAUAUUCUAGGCCAGCCAAGAUGCUUGUACUCAGAAAGGAGUGAUCUCAGGACCAUAAGAAAGUGAAAAAAUAAAAAUAAGAAAACAAAGAAGGGAUUGUCAAUGAAUCAGAAUUCAUCAAGGUCAAAGUCUUAGGAAAUUCCUUCAUGAGGAAGUCUAGGGGGGCUAUGGAAAUGAAAAUUUUUAAACAAAUAGGUAUGUGGUGCUGGCAGGAAUAAAUUAUGGACUUAUGAAUAUAACAUAAGAUUCUUUAUUACCUGGUCUCACCCGUCUUUCCACCUCUGCCCCCCUUCUUGCCCGACUCUGUGUAUCACCCAUAAUAAACUACUUACAGCUUCCUAGUGUUAAAUUUACCCUAAAGCUGCCUCCUUCAAUAUUUUAAGUUUAACCUAAAGGUUCUUCAUACAUAGUGAACUAUAACCCAAUGAUUAAACAGAUUGUAACCUACUCUUGUACCAGUCACCAAGUUUCAGCCAAUCAGAGGUGGCCAACUGUUCAAACCAUGCUCAAAUAAGGGAAAUGUCAUGGUGUAACUAAUCCAGCUGUUUCUAUAUCUUACUUCUGUUUUCUUAGGUCACUUUCCUUUUUCUGUCCAUAAAUUCUCUCCAACCACUCAGCAGCACUGGAGUCACUCCAAAGCUAUCCUGGUUCAGGGGUCUGUCUGAUUCACAAGUCAUUCUUUGUUCAAUUGAGCUCUGCUAAAUUUAAUUUGUCUGAAGUUUUUCUUUUAACAGAUGGUGUCAGAAAUGGACCCCAAAGUAGAGCUCCCAGUGAUCCCCCAGGAGCACUGAGUGACCACAAGGGGUACCUGCUGGGCCCGUCCUCUCGCAGUGUCCACUGCUCUCUUACAGCAACUGGAGAUUGUGGCUACAUUCUCUCUCAGAUUCUGAAGCUCCAUACAUUGCCGUUUUCAGCUGUUCAAGCUUGCUUGAGCAAAUUUUUGAUCUUAGCUGAGUUUGGAAGUCGAUAGACAUUGGACUGGGUCCAGGAUUUGAUUGGAUCUGAUAAUUAACUGGCUUGGAUGCAGUUAGAUGCCUCGGGUAUCUGACUGGGUCAGAUAGAAACCGCCAGUAAAUAUUUUGAUAACAAUACUGCAGGGGUAUGAACUCUGGCUUUAAGAAACUCACAAGGAAUUUUAUGUUCUAUACCCUUUGUUUCUUUUUCUUGUGUGCUUCGGUCAGGAAAAAUCAUUAGUCAAGUUAAUCAAGGGGAUCUGAGAGCCAAAUACAAGAUUCAACGUAAAAAUGGAAUCCUUGGGCUGGGUGUGGUGGCUCAGGCCUGUAAUCCCAGGACUUUGGGAGGCUGAGGCAGGCGGAUCACCUGACCUUAGGAGUUCGAGACCAGUCUGGCCAACAUGGUGAAACCCCGUCUCCACUAAAAAUGCAAAAAUUAGCCAGUCGUGGUGGUGGGCACCUGUAAUCCCAGCUACUUUGGAGGCUGAGGCAGGAUAAUCACUUGAACCCAGGAGGCAGAGGUUGCAGUGAUCUCAGAUUGCGCCACUGCACUCCAGCCUGGGCGAAAGAGCGAGACUCCAUCUCAUAAAUAAAUACAUAAAUAAAUAAAGAAAUCCUUAAUUUCUGCGGAACUGAGUGCUCUACCUUCUGGCUACACCUACAUAUACCUGUAUGAGGUAUAGGCCCUGGAAGCAGCAAACACUUACAGAAAUGGUGAAAUCUUACUAAAGGGAAAAGAAAGCUGGAUAAAGUAUUUAUAGAAGAUAGAGGACCUGUGGUGGCUCAUGCCUGUAAUCCAAGGUGGAAGGAUUGCUUGAGGCCAGAAGUUCAAGACCAGUCCAAGCAACAUAGCAAGGCCCCAUCUCUACAAAAAAAUGAAAAUAAAAUUAGCCGAGCGUGAUGGCUCAUGCCUGUAGUUCUAGCUUCCAGAGAGGCUGAGGCAGGAGGAUUGCUUGAGUCCAGGAGUUCAAGAUUACAAUGAGCUAUGGUCACACCACUGCACUCCAGCCUGGGUGAUGGAGUGAGACUGUCUCAAUAAAAAGACAAAAAGGUCAAGGAAGCUUUUCCUGAUCCACUAAGGACAAUCAAACCCUUCAUGAUCUAGAAUCUGGAGACUGUGUCUUCUGGGAAUAGUAUCAGAGAAAGACUGCCCUUACUGCCCACAUGUAGCAAAACUUUGAGACGUUGAAUUAUGGGUCCAUAAUCUCACAACUCAGAGGGGCACCUCUAGACUCUUGGAACUGCAUAUCUAUUGGAGACUUUAAGGUAAAGCUGAACAGAGACGUUUUUCUCCAGAAGCAGACAGCACCAUAGUCAUGGACAGCUUUCCCAAGAUCACAGAUCAAGACUUCUGUGCCGUCAUGAGACUCAUACCUCUUAAUUUUUUCUUGCUUAUGCUUCUGUGAACAAUAGAAUUGGAAAAGGGGUGGUCCCGCGUGCACCCAUAGGGUAUACUUUUAUUUGUGGAGGAUUUUGCUGCCAACCUUAUACAUGGGCAAACUUAUGCCUUCAUGGAUGGAAGAUAAAGGGCUAAUAUGGGUUAGAAAUUUUAAUGGUACCUUUGUUUCUCCAUAAUCAUUCAGAAACAGAACACUGGUCCACUCUUGUUAACCUACAUCAUAGGUUGAAGAGAACAUUGCCAGGAGGUCUUCAUCCUUCCAGAUGGGCACCAUUUGUUGGGUCUUUUUCCAUGGUAUGAAGAAAAUGAAGCAAUGAUUAGAAAUUGGUCCCUCGGCCGGGCACAAUGGCUCAUGCCUGUAAUCCCAUCACUUUGGCAGGCCGACGCGGGUGGAUCACCUGAGGUCAGGAGUUUGAGACCAGCCUGACCAAUGUGGUGAAACCCCAUCUCUACUAAAAAUACAAAAAUUAGCUGGGUGUGAUGGUGCACACCUGUAAUCCAGCUACUCGGGAGGCUGAGACAGGAGAAUUGCUUGAACCUGGGAGGCAGAGGUUGCAGUGAGCCAAGAUCACCCCACUGCAUUCCAGGUUGGGCAACAGAGCAAGACUCUGUCUCAAAAAAAAAAGAAGAAAGAAAGAAAUUGAUCCCUCAUAAUAGGCUGUAUAGCAGAUUCUACUGCAAAGGCUAUGGUUGCACAACAGCCUUCUUUGAAUUUGCUUGCUAAACUUUUACUGGAUAAUAGAAUUGCCUCCAAAAGUGCUGGGAUUACAGGUGUGAGCCACUGUGCCCAGCCUCUCCUGUUUAAUUGUAUUCAUUCUAAUGUUUACUUACUUCUUUAAUUUGUAAAAUUGGGUCACUUAGAGUUUUUUAGCCUAUCUUACCAUUUAGCCACUAUUACUGAUAAUUUGGAUGGAAAAGAAAAAUAAAUUAUAUCACCUCUCAUCUUCAGUGUAUAUAUGUGUUAGCUUAGUAAAUAUAGUAUUCUUUCUCGUUCCUAAUGAAAAUGUAGUUUACAUACUGAAACACUGCAAACUUUUAUAAAUAUUGUGAUGUAUUUGACCAAUACAAAGGAUCUUUUUAGAAACAGCAAACAGUUCUCAGAUUAUAGGAAUUACUCAUUUAAUGAUAGUUUCUUCUUAAAAAAAAAAGAAAAAUGUUUAGUUACCAAAUCAUAAACAACCCCUUAAAAGACACUCAGAUAAUCUCAUGGGUCAGGAAGAUGAUGAUCAGUAUAUUUGGUUAAUAAAAUAUAGCAUAGAAAGCAUAAACCAUAAAUGGAAAAUAUAACAGAUUGUACCAAAGAGAAUACAUUGAAAUACAUUAAGAAAUCGGAUUUAAACUAUGAUUGGAUCCUUCUUUAGGUGGAAGUUAUUUGAGAGAAUAAUUCCAUGAAAAUUAAAAAGUCAUGAUUCUUUCAUUGUAGGCUAGAAAAAUGGAUUUAGUCAGCUGAGAUUAAGUAUGGGGGACUCUACAAGAACCUAUGCUAGGAUAAGAAUAUUGGAGGAAAAACAGUGGAUGAGGUACCAGAUGUUAUGGCAUUCCAUCUUUGUAAAUAUAUGCAAUAAAAUCUGGUCUAUCUAGCUUUCUUUCAACCUAAAUGCCACUCACCGAUCUCACUACAUUUCUGCAGUACUGUAAUUGAGGUUUAUAAUGAUGACCCUGACAUGACUUGUGAAUCAUAGCAGAAGAUUAAAUUAUGUUCUGCUUUUUCCUUCAUGUAUUUAAUUAUAUUUAUAUUAGUUGCAAACUGGAAAUCUGAUCUGUUUUAAAACCCUGCUAGAUUAACCAGAGCCUCUUUAUCAGGGACCCAACCAUCCUUAAUAGCAGAGUUUAUAGUUCAUGGGGGGGAAAAAAAAGCACCCAGGAACUGAUUUUAAAAUGUGACAUUUGUACUUUCAUAGCAAGAAUAAUUAUUACAAGAUAAUUUGGAAUCAUCCAGCCACAUUUUAAAUAACUAUAACAAAUGUGUUAAUAAUAAAUUCUAUAUAGCUACUUCUUUUUAAUAAGUAUACUUCAUAUUCUGUAGUGAGAAAAAAUUAACCUUUGAAUAAAUAAAUCUUCAUCUCGGAUCUGAUAGAAUGUGGUUAGUGUCAACAAGAGAACAGAUAUUAGGCAUAUUUUCAGUUGAAUUGGUUUGUAUGUAAAAGUUUGGUUUGAGGGUCCCAUCAAGCUGCUUCUCAUCUCACCUUUGGUUUACCCAGUGAUGUAUCGUGACCGUGGUAACGAAAAAGGUCUUCUAAUAAACGUGAAUAAGCAUG